GUCCACGCCGUAAACGAUGUCAACUAGCCGUUGGGUCUUUAAAAGACAUAGUGGCGCAGCUAACGCAAUAAGUUGACCGCCUGGGGAGUACGGCCGCAAGGUUAAACUCAAAUGAAUUGACGGGGCCCGCACAAGCGGUGGAGCAUGUGGUUUAAUUCGAUGCAACGCGAAGAACCUUACCUGGUCUUGACAUCCUCGGAACCCUUGAGAGAUCGAGGGGUGCCUUCGGGAACCGAGAGACAGGUGCUGCAUGGCUGUCGU
rnacentral:rRNA from 1 species